CGUCCCAUCGAUCUGUUCGGCCAUCGCGCGCCUGCGCCUUUGGGCUGUCAGGCAGCGGCGGCGUGGGGAGCGUUGGGAGCGGUGGCGGCGCGCGACCCGAGCUUGUAAAAAUGGAAUUUCAAGCAGUGGUAAUGGCAGUUGGAGGGGGCUCUCGGAUGACAGACCUGACCUCCAGUGUUCCCAAACCUCUGCUUCCAGUUGGGAACAAACCUUUAAUAUGGUACCCAUUGAACCUGCUGGAACGCGUUGGAUUUGAAGAAGUCAUUGUCAUUACAACCAGGGAUGUCCAGAAGGCUCUAUGUGCAGACUUCAAGAUGAAAAUGAAGCUAGAUAUUGUGUGUAUUGCUGAUGACGCUGACAUAGGAACUGCAGAUUCUCUGCGCUACAUAUAUCAGAAACUUAAGACAGAUGUUUUGGUCCUGAGUUGUGAUCUGAUAACAGAUGUUGCCUUACAUGAGGUUGUGGACCUGUUUAGAGCUCAUGAUGCGACCCUCGCCAUGUUAAUGAGAAAAGGCCAAGACGGCUUGGAAUCAGUUCCAGGUCAAAAGGGGAAAAAAAAAGCAGUGGAGCAGCGUGACUUCGUUGGAGUGGACAGCACGGGAAAGAGGCUGCUCUUCAUGGCUAAUGAAGCAGACUUGGAUGAGGAGCUGGUCAUUAAGGGAGCCAUCCUGCAGAAGCACCCUCGGAUACGUUUCCACACGGGCCUCGUGGACGCGCACCUCUACUGCUUGAGAAGAUACGUCGUGGACUUCCUCAUGGAAUAUAAGUCAAUCACUUCCAUCCGGAGUGAACUGAUCCCAUACUUAGUGAGAAAACAGUUCUCCUCAGCUUCAUCACAACAAGGACAAGAAGAGAAAGAGGAGGAGCUAAAGAAAAAGGAGCUGAAGACUUUAGAUAUUUACAGCUUUAUAAAAGAAGUCGGGCCGCUGACCUUUGCUCUCCACGAUGCCUGCUGGAAUGCCUGUCGAGGAGACAGCCGGGAAGACUUGUCCAGAUCACAGGUGCGCUGCUAUGUCCACAUCAUGAAGGAGGGGCUCUGCUCUCGAGUGGGCACCCUAGGACUCUACAUGGAGGCAAACAGACAGGUGUCCAAAUUGCUACCUGUUAUCUGUCCAGAAGAAACACUGGUGCAUCCAUCAGCCCAGAUUGUCAGCAAACACCUGAUCGGAGCUGACAGCCUCAUUGGGCCAGAUACACAGGUUGGCGAGAAGUCCUCCGUUAAGCGCUCGGUCAUUGGGUCAUCCUGUGUCAUAAGAGAUAGAGUGACUGUCACCAACUCCCUUCUCAUGAACUCAGUCACCGUGGAGGAGGGAAGCAACAUCCAGGGCAGCGUCAUCUGCAACAACGCUGUGAUCGAGAAGGGAGCAGACAUCAAAGACUGCCUCAUUGGAAAUGGCCAGAGGAUUGAAGCGAAAGCUCAGCUAAUGAGAUUAUCUCUGGCAAAAGUCCUGGCAACCUCCUGCUCAGCCAGCUGAAAAGCUUGACCUCCUGCUCAGCUGAAAAGCCACAGCCAACAAGUCAAAGCCUGGGAGACUAAUUGGGCAUCUCAUCCGAGCGUCUCUCUGCUGUCAGUGAGGGAACCGGAUCUCUCUCCUGGACCACGGGGGUCACCCCUUUGGCCGUGCAAGUAGACCCGACGGGUACCCAGGUCCAGUCCUGGCUGCCCCACACUGCAGCUUUCCCCGUGUGCCUUGCCAUUCCCUCCUAUGUCGGUGGUUCCUCCCUUGCAGCCUUCCCUUUGGGGUCUCUCCUGGCCUGCUUCCCGCCCAGAACCUUUCCAGCGUGCUCACUGGCACCUGCUGCCAGCCCAGCCGGGCAGAGCUAGCACUGCUUGCUUUCCGCUGCAGCUGCCCCGCACCUUACGGAAUCACUGUGAAAACCCAUCUUCCCCAGAAAGCCAGAUAGAGGCCCUCUCCCCUCAGUCCCAGCGAGCAAGUCUUCUCCAACCCCCAGGCUGACAGCAGGCCAGAGGGCAGAGGACAGAGGGCGGAGGGCAAGCCAGAGGAGGGCAGGUAUUGAUGUGGCGCCUCGCAGAGCAGAAGGGGCUGUUGGCUCAGCCGGCGCCUCCUUCGCCCCGCUGGUCUGGCGCCUGAGGACCAAGAAGAGCGUUACCUGAAGCCGGGACGGUCCUCAGAGCAUCUUGGUAUCUGGAAACUCGGGGGAGAAGAGCAGGCGCCAGAGUCUAGAUAUGAGACGUUGGGGCCAGUUCACGGCUGCGAAGGGGAAAGGAGCGAGAGGAGCUUUUGGGGGGCCCUGGGACGCCAGCCAGACAACCGCUUCCUUCGUUCUCUUCUGGUCACUGUUCUCUUCCUCGGUGGAGCCUGGCUGGCAGUCACACUCCGGGAGCAGCCCCGGCGCGACCUCCUCUCUAGCUCGUAGUCCAUGGAAACUAACGCUCUUCUCACCGCUCACCCCUUCGUCAGUCAACUUCCAGGGCACACCCCCAAGUAUAUUGAGGGCUCACGGACUUCCCCGUUCCUCCCUCUUUUUUUCCAAAUACCUUAGGUUGAACGUAUUGGGAUGCCCUGUCCAGCCACACCACAGUUUUUCCCGUUGAUCUUUCUUUCGUCUUUGUCUUUUGUUUUGUUUCGUUUCGUUUUCGCUGCACCCAUGGCAAGUGCACGUGCCUGGGCCAGGGAUCAAAUCCCUGCCACAGCAACAACCAGAGCCGCUGCGGUGACAAUGCUGGACCCUUCACCCACUGCGCCACCAGGGAACGCCACACGUUUGUCUUCACUCCUGUGGCUCCAGCAGCCUGGAAUGCCUUCCCUUUGAUACACUGCCUGAAAAAGCUCUUUUCGUCCUCACGUCUCGGUUCCCGUUCCCUCCUGUGUGAAGCCUCCUGAAAGCCAGCCAGACGAGUGAACGAAGUAGUCGUGGGGAGCGACCAUCUCAUGGAGAUCUGAGUUCCGAGCAAGUCACACUUCUUCCUCUUGGCCCUGGAACUGCAGGUGUUGGCUGGCCCACCUCUUUGAUUCUGUAUUUAUUUCCCAAUAAAAGAAGGGCUCCCAGAGGCGUGCUGGAGA